rnacentral:rRNA from 1 species
AGUGAACGCUGGCGGCAGGCCUAAUACAUGCAAGUCGAACGGCAGUACAGCAGAGCUUGCUCUGUGGGUGGCGAGUGGCGGACGGGUGAGGAAUACAUGGGAAUCUGCCCAGUCGUGGGGGAUAACGUAGGGAAACUUACGCUAAUACCGCAUGCGCCCUUCGGGGGAAAGCCGGGGACCUUCGGGCCUGGCGCGAUUGGAUGAGCCCAUGUCGGAUUAGCUAGUUGGCGGGGUAAAGGCCCACCAAGGCGACGAUCCGUAGCUGGUCUGAGAGGAUGAUCAGCCACACUGGAACUGAGACACGGUCCAGACUCCUACGGGAGGCAGCAGUAGGGAAUAUUGGACAAUGGGCGCAAGCCUGAUCCAGCCAUGCCGCGUGAGUGAAGAAGGCCUUCGGGUUGUAAAGCUCUUUUGUCCGGAAAGAAAAGCAUCCAGUUAAUACCUGGGUGUCCUGACGGUACCGGAAGAAUAAGCACCGGCUAACUUCGUGCCAGCCGCCGCGGUAACAC